rnacentral:rRNA from 1 species
AGAGUUUGAUCCUGGCUCAGGAUGAACGCUGGCGGCGUGCCUAACACAUGCAAGUCGAACGGAGCGGAGCCCUUCGGGGCAUUGCUUAGUGGCGGACGGGUGAGUAACGCGUGGGCAACCUGCCCCGCACCGGGGGAUAACAGCCGGAAACGGCUGCUAAUACCGCAUACGCCGUCCCUGCCGCAUGGCGGGGGCGGGAAAGAUUGUAUCGGUGCGGGAUGGGCCCGCGUCUGAUUAGCCAGUUGGCAGGGUAACGGCCUACCAAAGCGACGAUCAGUAGCCGGCUUGAGAGAGUGGACGGCCACAUUGGGACUGAGACACGGCCCAGACUCCUGCGGGAGGCAGCAGUGGGGGAUAUUGCACAAUGGGGGAAACCCUGAUGCAGCGACGCCGCGUGAAGGAAGAAGUAUUUCGGUAUGUAAACUUCUGUCAGCAGGGAAGAAGAAAGACGGUACCUGAAGAAGAAGCCCCGGCUAACUACGUGCCAGCAGCCGCGGUAAUACGUAGGGGGCAAGCGUUAUCCGGAUUUACUGGGUGUAAAGGGAGCGUAGACGGCAUGGCAAGCCAGAUGUGAAAGACCGGGGCUCAACCCCGGAGCUGCAUUUGGAACUGCCGGGCUGGAGUGCAGGAGGGGCAGGCGGAAUUCCUGGUGUAGCGGUGAAAUGCGUAGAGAUCAGGAGGAACACCGGUGGCGAAGGCGGCCUGCUGGACUGUAACUGACGUUGAGGCUCGAAAGCGCGGGGAGCAAACAGGAUUAGAUACCCUGGUAGUCCACGCCGUAAACGAUGAAUACCAGGUGU